UACGUAGGGUGCAAGCGUUGUCCGGAAUUAUUGGGCGUAAAGAGCUCGUAGGCGGUCUGUCGCGUCGGGAGUGAAAACUCAGGGCUUAACCCUGAGCCUGCUUCCGAUACGGGCAGACUAGAGGUAUGCAGGGGAGAAUGGAAUUCCUGGUGUAGCGGUGAAAUGCGCAGAUAUCAGGAGGAACACCGGUGGCGAAGGCGGUUCUCUGGGCAUUACCUGACGCUGAGGAGCGAAAGUGUGGGGAGCGAACAGG
rnacentral:rRNA from 1 species